rnacentral:rRNA from 1 species
AGUAACACGUAUCCACCUGCCGAGGACUCGGGGAUAGCCUUUCGAAAGAAAGAUUAAUACCCGAUGGCUCCGCAUGGUUAAAGAAUUUCGGUCAUCGAUGGGGAUGCGUUCCAUUAGGUUGUUGGCGGGGUAACGGCCCACCAAGCCUUCGAUGGAUAGGGGUUCUGAGAGGAAGGUCCCCCACAUUGGAACUGAGACACGGUCCAAACUUAUACGGGAGGCAGCAGUGAGGAAUAUUGGUCAAUGGACGAGAGUCUGAACCAGCCAAGUAGCGUGAAGGAUGACUGCCUAUGGGUUGUAAACUUCUUUUAUACGGGAAUAAGUGAGGCACGUGUGCCUUUUUGUAUGUACCGUAUGAAUAAGGAUCGGCUAACUCCGUGCCAGCAGCCGCGGUAAUACGGAGGAUCCGAGCGUUAUCCGGAUUUAUUGGGUUUAAAGGGAGCGUAGGCGGACGCUUAAGUCAGUUGUGAAAGUUUGCGGCUCAACCGUAAAAUUGCAGUUGAUACUGGGUGUCUUGAGUACAGUAGAGGCAGGCGGAAUUCGUGGUGUAGCGGUGAAAUGCUUAGAUAUCACGAAGAACUCCGAUUGCGAAGGCAGCCUGCUGGACUGUAACUGACGCUGAUGCUCGAAAGUGUGGGUAUCAAACAGGAUUAGAUACCCUGGUAGUCCACACAGUAAACGAUGAAUACUCGCUGUUU